rnacentral:rRNA from 1 species
GAUGAACGCUAGCUACAGGCUUAACACAUGCAAGUCGAGGGGUAACGAGAGGAAAGCUUGCUUUCCUUGUCGACGACCGGCGCACGGGUGAGUAACGCGUAUCCAACCUGCCCCCAACUAGGGAAUAACCUUGCGAAAGUAAGACUAAUACCCUAUAAUUUCCUCAGAUGUCAUCUGACGAGGAAUAAAGAUUUAUCGGUUGUAGAUGGGGAUGCGUCUGAUUAGCUUGUUGGCGGGGUAACGGCCCACCAAGGCAACGAUCAGUAGGGGUUUUGAGAGGAAGGUCCCCCACAUUGGAACUGAGACACGGUCCAAACGCCUACGGGAGGCAGCAGUGAGGAAUAUUGGUCAAUGGGCGGAAGCCUGAACCAGCCAAGUAGCGUGCAGGAUGACGGCCCUAUGGGUUGUAAACUGCUUUUAUACAGGAAUAAAGUUAGCCACGUGUGGUUAUUUGUAGGUACUGUAUGAAUAAGGACCGGCUAAUUCCGUGCCAGCCGCCGCGGUAA